rnacentral:misc_RNA from 1 species
ACAUUUCAAUUUGAAAAGUUCAAAACAAAUAUAAUUUUUGAAUAUCGUAAAGAAUUUAAUUCAUCAAUUGAAACAAAAACUCUUAUGAGCUUGAAACAAGGUAGAAUAAGAGAGAUUUGUCAGAAAUGGAAGGAUCAGUAGUGACUCCAAGGUUUAUCUGGUAAGAUUUCGGUGGCACUGUUGUGUCAACACCAGAUCUGGUAGGUCAGGAAAAUUCAAGUUUG